CUGUGUUGCUUACCAAUGCAACGGAAUUUGAUGGUUCGGAUGCCUACAUCCGUUCGGCGCCCGUUAGGGUGCCGGGCGGACGACAGGUUGGCCUCGUGUUCCUGGCAUGCCUUGCCUCGUUGUUCGGCUGCCGUGGCGCACGGGGUUAUGCCCGUUCUCUCGGAUGCGGAUUGUUACGUGUGGGCUAGGGGUUACGGCCUCUAUCUGCCCGCAUCGUGCAUUUGUCCCUCGACACGGACGACUGCCGCGCUCGUCUUGGCUCGAGAGCUGCACGGCUCUACGAGGACCCAUGCGGGCGUCGGCGCCGUUUAGGAAUGCUACCUGGUUGAUCCUGCCAGUAGUCAUAUG
rnacentral:misc_RNA from 1 species